GAUAGGAGCAGGAGAGCAGCAGCAUCUCUUUCCUCUGUGGCUUUGGUAUCUGCAGCGUGGGCAAUCUGGAAGCAAUGGGGCAAAUUGGCCCUGAUACUCCUCUGUGGAGGUUGACAAGCAGUUAUAUUUCAAACUUGAAGAGAAAGUUAAAAUGAACAAGAAGAAAAAAAUCUAGAAGAUGAAGGCUUCUGCAAAUGCUUAAUUUGUUUUUUUAUAUUGACUUCUAUGACUACUCCCCCCUUCUAUUUAAGAUAGCAGAAUUCCUUAACAGCCUCUAUAAAUCUGAUGCCUGCUGAAAUAAGAAAAAAAACUCAAACAGAAGUUAGGCCCGGAAAGGCCUGAAGAAAGAAGGUUCCUUCCCUGUCUUCAUGAGCAUCUUUUCUUUCUUUUCCAAACAACAUGUGAAAAAUCCAGAAUAUAAAGCUGCCAUGUUUAAAGUCAGUAGAGAAAUCUGCAGCCAGAAGGAAAACUGGGAGAAAAAGUGGAGUAAGUGAACCGUCAUAAGAACAGACUGAAACCACUAAGAACAAUGGCCAGCACCUGGAUUUGGCAUCAAUCAAUCACGAAGCAGGGGACCUUGGAUCGUGCCAGAGGGUCACAGAGACCUGAUGAAGACUCUCCUGACUUCAUCCUUUGAGACCACUGACCCAAUUCGAGACCACCAACCCAAUUCAAGAGAAGAACUGCGCACGCGUGAAGGACUGAUAGCCUCAUUUUAAUACAGAGCGGGGAUGGGAGGUGCUGGGGUUAUGCAUAUGUAUUGUAGGUAAGAUCUUGGAAAAUAAAUAGAGAGCAAAGAGCCUUGUU